AUUGAACGCUGGCGGCAUGCUUUACACAUGCAAGUCGAACGGCAGCGGGGGCUUCGGCCCGCCGGCGAGUGGCGAACGGGUGAGUAAUGCAUCGGAACGUGCCCAGUCGUGGGGGAUAACACAUCGAAAGAUGUGCUAAUACCGCAUACGUCCUGAGGGAGAAAGCGGGGGAUCUUCGGACCUCGCGCGAUUGGAGCGGCCGAUGUCGGAUUAGCUAGUUGGUGAGGUAAAGGCUCACCAAGGCGACGAUCUGUAGCGGGUCUGAGAGGAUGAUCCGCCGCACUGGGACUGAGACACGGCCCAGACUCCUACGGGAGGCAGCAGUGGGGAAUUUUGGACAAUGGGCGCAAGCCUGAUCCAGCCAUGCCGCGUGAGUGAAGAAGGCCUCGGUUGUAAGACGUCUUCGUCUAGGAAGAAACGAGUGGCGUAGUAUACUUCGCGCGGAGUGACGGUACCG
rnacentral:rRNA from 1 species